GUCCUCGUAGCACGAUGGUGGUGCAUCCGGUUGCGUAGGAGCAAAACCUGGAAGGUUGUAGGUUCGAAUCCUACCGAGGACU